CUAGAGUCUUUGUAGAAGGGGGGUAGAAAUUCCAGGUGUAGCGGUGAAAUGCGUAGAAGAUCUGGAGGAAAUACCGGUGGCGAAGGCGGCCCCCUGGACAAAGACUGACGCUCAGGUGCGAAAGCGUGGGGAGCAAACAGGAUUAGAUACCCUGGUAGUCCACGCCGUAAACGAUGUCCAUUUUGGAGGCUGUGUCCUUUGAGACGUGGCUUCCGGAGCUAACGCGUUAAAUCGACCGCCUGGGGAGUACGGCCGCAAGGUUAAAACUCAAAUGAAUUUGACGGGGGCCCGCACAAGCGGUGGAGCAUGUGGUUU
rnacentral:rRNA from 1 species